GAUAAACGCUGGCGGCGUGCCUAACACAUGCAAGUCGAACGCCCUCUUGCUUCGGUGAGAGGGAGUGGCGGACGGGUGAGUAACACGUGGGUACCUACCUCGAGGUGAGGAAUACCACCGAGAAAUCGGUGACAAGACCGCAUAGCUUCGUGCACACGAAGAAAGUCACGUGAGUGACGCCUGGAGAUGGGCCUGCGCCUGAUUAGCUGGUUGGUGGGGUAAAAGCCUACCAAGGCCACGAUCAGUAGCUGGUCUGAGAGGAUGAUCAGCCACACUG
rnacentral:rRNA from 1 species